rnacentral:lncRNA from 1 species
ACGUCCGCUCCUCCCAGUAGUCAGCAUUCUUCACGCGCGCCCCAUUCCUCUUCAGCGAUGAAGCAUCCUGUGAUCGCGUCUGGCUCCACCCUCUUCCGGAAACCCAGCAACCUCCCAUGCCCGUCCGACUGCAAGCGGGAUCCAAACAUCGCAUCCAGCCAUCCCGCCGAUCACGACUGCAGCUCCUCCGCCUUUGCUCCCUUCCGUUUCCGCAUCCAAGCAUGCGUGGCAUUCAACCUC